AGAAUUGGGUGGGAGAUGGUGUCAAAGGCUGCUGUGAGGUCGAGGAGGAUCAGAAUGGAUAAGUGUCAGCUGCGAGAAGGAGAUCAUUUGUAAUUUUUACCAAGGCUGUUUCAGUGCUGUGAUUGUGGCAAAAACCAGACUGAAAUGGUUCAUAGAGGUUAUUGUUUUGAAGUUUAGAAACAGACAAUU